CUCCCAAGUGUGUGUUGAGGCUGACGUAGGUGCCUGGGUGCGACCGGGGCGCUCUGCCCAUGGCCUUACCUGAGCCUAGGCCUCCUCGCUUGGACCUGGGGUAGUCACAGGCCCCGCCCCCGGGGUAGCGUGAGAUGGAAUGAGUUCAGCACCUGGCUCAGUCUUAGUGUGAACCCCAGUGGGAUAAUUAUUCACUGGCCUUCCAGGCAGGGACCGCCCACUCACCAGCUCCUCUCCUGUGUGGGGGGCGCCUGAGUCAUGGGAACAAGGACGAACAGGACCGAAACGGUGCAAGUUAAAGCAAGCGAAGGACGAGGAUCCCUGUAGGAACCUGGCAUGAGACUUCUGGGCUCUGGGCCUUCGCACUGACCACUGACCGUUCCUUCUGCCUGGAGCACCUUUCCUCUUUUGCCUCUUCUUCUGCUUUAGUUUUUGAUGCCCCUGGGCAGUCGAGGAGUUCCUCCUCUCAUCGCUGCCAGCAACUUAAAGUGGUUGGGUCCACACGUGCCCACUGUAGGACCUCACCAAACCUGUUCCGUCUUCUGAAAAGUGGAGAGAAUAGGAGGACUUACCUCGUGGGUUUAUUAGGAAGAUUUAAGGAGCUAACCCUGGAAAAUGCUUGUACAUCAUACGUUGGAUGCAUAGAAAGUGCUCAAAACUGUCUGCUACUGAGCAAAGUGCUUGUCACUGAGUGCCACCUUUGUGCCAAGCACUUUACAUAAAGUCAUUCUUUUAAUCAGACA